GAUGAACGCUGGCGGCGUGCCUAAUACAUGCAAGUCGAGCGAACAGACGAGGAGCUUGCUCCUCUGACGUUAGCGGCGGACGGGUGAGUAACACGUGGAUAACCUACCUAUAAGACUGGGAUAACUUCGGGAAACCGGAGCUAAUACCGGAUAAUAUAUUGAACCGCAUGGUUCAAUAGUGAAAGACGGUUUUGCUGUCACUUAUAGAUGGAUCCGCGCCGCAUUAGCUAGUUGGUAAGGUAACGGCCUACCAAGGCAACGAUGCGUAGGCGAACUGAGGGGGUGAUCGGCCACACUGGAACUGAGACACCGUCCAGACUCCUACGGGAGGCCGCAGUAGGGAAUCUUCCGCAAUGGUCGGAAGCAUGACGGAGCAACGCCGCGUGAGUGAUGAAGGUCUUCGGAUCGUAAAACUCUGUUAUUAGUGAAGAACAAAUGUGUAAGUAAAUGUGCACGUCUUGACGGUACCUAGUCAGAAAGCCACGGCUAACUACGUG
rnacentral:rRNA from 1 species